CGCGUAGGCGGCUUGAUAAGUUUGGAGUGAAAGUCCUGCUUUUAAGGUGGGAAUUGCUUUGAAAACUGUUGAGCUUGAGUGCAGGAGAGGUAAGUGGAAUUCCCGGUGUAGCGGUGAAAUGCGUAGAGAUCGGGAGGAACACCAGUGGCGAAGGCGACUUACUGGACUGUUACUGACGCUGAGGCGCGAAAGUGUGGGGAGCAAACA
rnacentral:rRNA from 1 species